ensembl:lncRNA
AACCCAGUCCCAGUCAUAAGGGCUGGAACAGGAUGUGUAGUAUCAGCCAUCUACAUUGAACCUUUACAUAUUUAUGAAAUAUGACUUGUGUUUGAUAUAUCUGUUUUAACAUUUUAUCUUGUAAGAUUGUCCUUUUCGAUUGUUUUACCGAUAUUGUUGAUUUAUUGUUGUAAAUUUGUGUUUUUGUUUUGAUUUUAUAUUGUGAUGUUGGGCAAGGCCCCAUGUGAGCCGCCCCGAGUCCCUUUGGGGAGAUGGGGCGGGGUACAAGAAUAAAAUUAUUAUUAUAAAUUAUUAAAAUGCCCAAACAUAACUUAGCUAUAACUAAUAGGCUUGAGCGAUCCAUGAAAAAAUUGAUUCUAAACUCGUUUCAAAAGUAGGGGGCGCCAGCGUUUCGUUUCUGAUGUCAUUUCCGAAUUUUGCCCCCCAAAAAAUUUGAAAUUAAUGAAAAUUCGUUAUUUUCUAAAUUAAUUCGUUAAUGGCGGACGCGCAUGCGCAGUGGCCAAAAAAAAACAGCACAAGGGGAGAUUUUACAGGACUCUCCCGCCCUCAUUUUUUGAGUGAUCUUCUUCAAACUUGGUACAGUGGUAGAACACAUUUAACACUGAUAGCUCACCAAAAUUUGGAACGUUUCCCUUAUCCUCUGAUUUUUGGCGAAUCGAUCAAGCCUACUAAAUAGGCAUCUGUCAGGAAUACUUUCAUUGUGUUUUUCCUGCAUGGCAGGGUUUGUACUAGAUGGCCGACGUGGUCUCUUCCAACAAUUAUUCUAAGAUUCUAUGAAAGAGAUCUGGGAUUCUUAAAUAGACCAUAAGCUGAAAAAUACCAUGCAGAAGUGAACAAAAAGCCAGUGCUAUUCUAGGCUGCAUCAAGGCAGGUAUAGUGACGAUAUUGAGGGAAGCCAUAAUCCCAUUGUAGUCUCCUUUUGUCAGACCUCGCCUAGAAUACUGUAUCUGCAAUUCAAGGAAGAUAUUGACAAGCUGAAAGAGAAAAAGCAAUAUAUUAUUAUAAUUAUUACAACAAAAACAACUUUAUUUUUGUACCCUGCCUCCAUCUCCCCGCCAAGACUCGGGGUGGCUAACAUGGGGCCAAGCCCAAAUAACCACAAUAAAGCAGGAUAAAAUACACACAGAACAAAACAAGCAUCAUCAACAAGAAAAUUUAAACAGACUAAAACACCAUUUUGAGCAAUAAUGUAGUAAUUUCCGUCAUAUAAAAGGAAAACAGCAAAUUAAAAUAGUAAGAGAACUGGGCAAUGGUGCUACCAAAAGAAUCAAAAGUCUGAAAGCCAAGCCAUCAGUAGAAAUAGCAUAGUGUGUUGGCUAUGUUUAGGUUGAAGAAAACAAGGCUGAGAGAGGAAGACAAAAGAGCCAGGGUUAAAUAAAAAGCAGACCAAGAUAGAUAAUAACUUCUGGUAGAGGCAAAAUGGUGGACUCCACGGAACACUGAGUUGCUCUUGGCAAACCAACCUUGCCUGGUGCUUAGAGUGAGUGUUUAGCUCCCCCACACUGACGGAGAGAAGUCUAUGUGGUGCCAAAACCCACAGGGUAGAGGAUUGGUGUCUGCCAUAGUCAACCUCGCAUUAGGGGUCGAAGCGGUGCAGCCAAUCCAUCCCGCCGGAUUGUAAAGGAUGCCCAGCACUGGCAUGGGCUAGAACGCCAGCCUCUAUUUUAAACGAAAAAGAUGACAGAGGGAAGAAGGUAACAGAAUAAAAAAGAGACAUGGAGUGACAGGAGAAGCUCUCUUACCAGGUUAUUACAGGAGAGUAAGGACGACCUGAGGAACCGGCUGGAAAAUGAGUAAAGGAAAUGAAAGGCAUUUUGAUCCUACCUCUUGCUAAGUUGCUGGCGACACGGAGGGAAGGGGAGUGACUUGAAGAAAGCCAAGUAAGCUAAGUAACUAUGGACUAUAUAUAAAAUAUAAAAUAAAUAAAUAUAAGAAUCAUAGAAUCAUAGAAUAGUAGAGUUGGAAGAGACCACAUGGGCUAUCUAGUCCAACCCCCUGCUAAGAAGCAGGAAAUCGCAUUCAAAGCACCCCCGACAGAUGGCCAUCCAGCCUCUGCUUAAAAGCCUCCAAGGAAGGAGCCUCCACCACGGCCCCGGGGAGAGAGUUCCACUGUCGAACAGCUCUCACAGUGAGGAAGUUCUUCCUGAUGUUCAAGUGGAAUCUCCUUUCCUGUAGUUUGAAGCCAUUGUUCCGUGUCCUAGUCUGCAGGGCAGCAGAAAAC